rnacentral:tRNA from 1 species
GGCGACGUGGCCAAGUGGUAAGGCAGAGGUCUGCAAAACCUUUAUCACCGGUUCGAAUCCGGUCGUCGCCUCCA